rnacentral:rRNA from 1 species
UACGAGGGGGGCAAAUGUUGUUCGGAAUCACUGGGCGUAAAGGGAGCGUAGGCGGGUUCUUAAGUUAGGUGUGUAAUCCCGGGGCCCAACCCCGGACCGGCACUUAAAACUGGGAAUCUUGAAUAGUGGAGAGGUCGGUGGAAUUGGAGGUGUAGCGGUGGAAUGCGUAGAGAUCUCCAAGAACACCAGUUGCGAAGGCGGCCGACUGGACACAUAUUGACGCUGAGGAGCGAAAGCGUGGGGAGCGAACAGG